UACGUAGGGGACAAGCGUUGUCCGGAUUUACUGGGCGUAAAGGGCGCGUAGGCGGCUUAACAAGUCACUUGUGAAAUCUCCGGGCUUAACUCGGAACGGCCAAGUGAAACUGUCAAGCUAGAGUGCAGAAGGGGCAAUCGGAAUUCUUGGUGUAGCGGUGAAAUGCGUAGAUAUCAAGAGGAACACCUGAGGUGAAGACGGGUUGCUGGGCUGACACUGACGCUGAGGCGCGAAAGCCAGGGGAGCAAACGGG
rnacentral:rRNA from 1 species